rnacentral:SRP_RNA from 1 species
GCCAGGUGCAAUGGCGCAUGCCUGUAGUCCCAGCUACUCGGGAGGCUAAGGCUGGAGUAUUGCUUGAGUCCAGGAGUUCUGGGCUGUAGUGCUCUAUGCCGAUCUUUUCUGCACUAAGUUCAGCAUCAAUAUGGUGACCUCCCGGGAGCAGAGGACCACCAGGUUGCCUAAGGAGGGGUGAACCGGCCCAGGUCGGAAACAGAAAAGGUCAAAACUCCCAUGCUGAUCAGUAGUGGGAUUGUGCCUGGGAAUAGCCACUGCACUCCAGCCUGGGCAACAUAGCAAGACCCCAUCUCU